UUAAGUCGACCGCCUGGGGAGUACGGCCGCAAGGUUAAAACUCAAAUGAAUUGACGGGGGCCCGCACAAGCGGUGGAGCAUGUGGUUUAAUUCGAUGCAACGCGAAGAACCUUACCUGGUCUUGACAUCCACGGAAGUUUUCAGAGAUGAGAAUGUGCCUUCGGGAACCGUGAGACAGGUGCUGCAUGGCUGUCGUCAGCUCGUGUUGUGAAAUGUUGGGUUAAGUCCCGCAACGAGCGCAACCCUUAUCCUUUGUUGCCAGCGGUCCGGCCGGGAACUCAAAGGAGACUGCCAGUGAUAAACUGGAGGAAGGUGGGGAUGACGUCAAGUCAUCAUGGCCCUUACGACCAGGGCUACACACGUGCUACAAU
rnacentral:rRNA from 2 species